rnacentral:rRNA from 1 species
AAGCAGUGGGAGCACAGAGCAAUCUGUGUGACUGCGUACCUUUUGUAUAAUGGGUCAGCGACUUAUAUUCUGUAGCAAGGUUAACCGAAUAGGGGAGCCGAAGGGAAACCGAGUCUUAACUGGGCGUUAAGUUGCAGGGUAUAGACCCGAAACCCGGUGAUCUAGCCAUGGGCAGGUUGAAGGUUGGGUAACACUAACUGGAGGACCGAACCGACUAAUGUUGAAAAAUUAGCGGAUGACUUGUGGCUGGGGGUGAAAGGCCAAUCAAACCGGGAGAUAGCUGGUUCUCCCCGAAAGCUAUUUAGGUAGCGCCUCGUGAAUUCAUCUCCGGGGGUAGAGCACUGUUUCGGCAAGGGGGUCAUCCCGACUUACCAACCCGAUGCAAACUGCGAAUACCGGAGAAUGUUAUCACGGGAGACACACGGCGGGUGCUAACGUCCGUCGUGAAGAGGGAAACAACCCAGACCGCCAGCUAAGGUCCCAAAGUCAUGGUUAAGUGGGAAACGAUGUGGGAAGGCCCAGACAGCCAGGAUGUUGGCUUAGAAGCAGCCAUCAUUUAAAGAAAGCGUAAUAGCUCACUGGUCGAGUCGGCCUGCGCGGAAGAUGUAACGGGGCUAAACCAUGCACCGAAGCUGCGGCAGCGACACUGUGUGUUGUUGGGUAGGGGAGCGUUCUGUAAGCCUGUGAAGGUGUGCUGUGAGGCAUGCUGGAGGUAUCAGAAGUGCGAAUGCUGACAUAAGUAACGAUAAAGCGGGUGAAAAGCCCGCUCGCCGGAAGACCAAGGGUUCCUGUCCAACGUUAAUCGGGGCAGGGUGAGUCGACCCCUAAGGCGAGGCCGAAAGGCGUAGUCGAUGGGAAACAGGUUAAUAUUCCUGUACUUGGUGUUACUGCGAAGGGGGGACGGAGAAGGCUAUGUUGGCCGGGCGACGGUUGUCCCGGUUUAAGCGUGUAGGCUGGUUUUCCAGGCAAAUCCGGAAAAUCAAGGCUGAGGCGUGAUGACGAGGCACUACGGUGCUGAAGCAACAAAUGCCCUGCUUCCAGGAAAAGCCUCUAAGCAUCAGGUAACAUCAAAUCGUACCCCAAACCGACACAGGUGGUCAGGUAGAGAAUACCAAGGCGCUUGAGAGAACUCGGGUGAAGGAACUAGGCAAAAUGGUGCCGUAACUUCGGGAGAAGGCACGCUGAUAUGUAGGUGAAGUCCCUCGCGGAUGGAGCUGAAAUCAGUCGAAGAUACCAGCUGGCUGCAACUGUUUAUUAAAAACACAGCACUGUGCAAACACGAAAGUGGACGUAUACGGUGUGACGCCUGCCCGGUGCCGGAAGGUUAAUUGAUGGGGUCAGCGCAAGCGAAGCUCUUGAUCGAAGCCCCGGUAAACGGCGGCCGUAACUAUAACGGUCCUAAGGUAGCGAAAUUCCUUGUCGGGUAAGUUCCGACCUGCACGAAUGGCGUAAUGAUGGCCAGGCUGUCUCCACCCGAGACUCAGUGAAAUUGAACUCGCUGUGAAGAUGCAGUGUACCCGCGGCAAGACGGAAAGACCCCGUGAACCUUUACUAUAGCUUGACACUGAACAUUGAGCCUUGAUGUGUAGGAUAGGUGGGAGGCUUUGAAGUGUGGACGCCAGUCUGCAUGGAGCCGACCUUGAAAUACCACCCUUUAAUGUUUGAUGUUCUAACGUGGACCCGUGAUCCGGGUUGCGGACAGUGUCUGGUGGGUAGUUUGACUGGGGCGGUCUCCUCCUAAAGAGUAACGGAGGAGCACGAAGGUUGGCUAAUCCUGGUCGGACAUCAGGAGGUUAGUGCAAUGGCAUAAGCCAGCUUGACUGCGAGCGUGACGGCGCGAGCAGGUGCGAAAGCAGGUCAUAGUGAUCCGGUGGUUCUGAAUGGAAGGGCCAUCGCUCAACGGAUAAAAGGUACUCCGGGGAUAACAGGCUGAUACCGCCCAAGAGUUCAUAUCGACGGCGGUGUUUGGCACCUCGAUGUCGGCUCAUCACAUCCUGGGGCUGAAGUAGGUCCCAAGGGUAUGGCUGUUCGCCAUUUAAAGUGGUACGCGAGCUGGGUUUAGAACGUCGUGAGACAGUUCGGUCCCUAUCUGCCGUGGGCGCUGGAGAACUGAGGGGGGCUGCUCCUAGUACGAGAGGACCGGAGUGGACGCAUCACUGGUGUUCGGGUUGUCAUGCCAAUGGCACUGCCCGGUAGCUAAAUGCGGAAGAGAUAAGUGCUGAAAGCAUCUAAGCACGAAACUUGCCCCGAGAUGAGUUCUCCCUGACCCUUUAAGGGUCCUGAAGGAACGUUGAAGACGACGACGUUGAUAGGCCGGGUGUGUAAGCGCAGCGAUGCGUUGAGCUAACCGGUACUAAUGAACCGUGAGGCUUAACCUUACAACGCCGAAGGUGUUU